AUUGAACGCUGGUGGCAUGCCUUACACAUGCAAGUCGAACGGCAGCACGGACUUCGGUCUGGUGGCGAGUGGCGAACGGGUGAGUAAUGUAUCGGAACGUACCUUUCAGUGGGGGAUAACGUAGCGAAAGUUACGCUAAUACCGCAUAUUCUGUGAGCAGGAAAGCAGGGGAUCGCAAGACCUUGCGCUGAUUGAGCGGCCGAUAUCAGAUUAGCUAGUUGGUGGGGUAAAGGCCUACCAAGGCUACGAUCUGUAGCGGGUCUGAGAGGAUGAUCCGCCACACUGGAACUGAGACACGGUCCAGACUCCUACGGGAGGCAGCAGUGGGGAAUUUUGGACAAUGGGGGCAACCCUGAUCCAGCCAUGCCGCGUGAGUGAAGAAGGCCUUCGGGUUGUAAAGCUCUUUCGGCCGGGAAGAAAUCGCAUCAGCUAAUACCUGGUGUGGAUGACGGUACCGGAAUAAGAAGCACCGGCUAACUACGUGCCAGCAGCCGCGGUAAUACGUAGGGUGCGAGCGUUAAUCGGAAUUACUGGGCGUAAAGCGUGCGCAGGCGGUUGUGUAAGACAGGCGUGAAAUCCCCGGGCUCAACCUGGGAACUGCGCUUGUGACUGCACAGCUAGAGUACGGCAGAGGGGGGUGGAAUUCCACGUGUAGCAGUGAAAUGCGUAGAGAUGUGGAGGAACACCGAUGGCGAAGGCAGCCCCCUGGGCCGAUACUGACGCUCAUGCACAAAAGCGUGGGUAGCAAACAGGAUUAGAUACCCUGGUAGUCCACGCCCUAAACGAUGUCAACUAGGUGUUGGGUGGGUAAAACCAUUUAGUACCGUAGCUAACGCGUGAAGUUGACCGCCUGGGGAGUACGGCCGCAAGGUUAAAACUCAAAGGAAUUGACGGGGACCCGCACAAGCGGUGGAUGAUGUGGAUUAAUUCGAUGCAACGCGAAAAACCUUACCUACCCUUGACAUGUCCAGAAGCCCGAAGAGAUUUGGGUGUGCCCGAAAGGGAACUGGAACACAGGUGCUGCAUGGCUGUCGUCAGCUCGUGUCGUGAGAUGUUGGGUUAAGUCCCGCAACGAGCGCAACCCUUGUCGUUAAUUGCCAUCAUUUAGUUGGGCACUUUAACGAGACUGCCGGUGACAAACCGGAGGAAGGUGGGGAUGACGUCAAGUCCUCAUGGCCCUUAUGGGUAGGGCUUCACACGUCAUACAAUGGUCGGUACAGAGGGUUGCCAAGCCGCGAGGUGGAGCCAAUCCCAGAAAGCCGAUCGUAGUCCGGAUUGCAGGCUGCAACUCGCCUGCAUGAAGUCGGAAUCGCUAGUAAUCGCGGAUCAGCAUGUCGCGGUGAAUACGUUCCCGGGUCU
rnacentral:rRNA from 1 species